CGGAUAUUGGGUAUGGAUAAAUUUACUGUUCUAUUUGUAAAUAGUAAAAGACACGUGGAAAGGAUUACCUGUUUACAAAUUCUAAUCAAAUAAUUUGUGGUGUACUGCAUGAAAUGGAAAAUAGCGCGAAUAUUAUAACCUUUUUUGUUGACAUGAUUUCAAUUAAACAUGAGCCUUCUGUUACAGUUUGAGUCAUUGAGACUAAUCCCCUUUUCCUCAAGUGGCAUUCUUCACCAUUAAGAAUCUCUGGAAAGCUGUUAAAGAAAAAACAUAAAUUCAUUUAUAGCAGAUGCUUCCCUGGCCACCAUUCACUCCUGAUCUCUCACCAAUCGAACACAUUUGGGAUGUAAUUUGGAGGCCAUUUGCAGACCUUGCCAUUGCUGUGUUCUGAAAACGAACUGUGGCAAAUGGUUAAUAGGAAAUGGAAAACUGUUCCUCAGAACACCAUCCAUAGUCUCAUUGACUCUGUACCUAGAGAUGUAUUUCUUCGUGUAUCGCCAUCCAAAGUGAUCUGAGCCGACGCUGUUCUCGCUGUGUAUUAUGCAUAUCAUUUCGAAAUAAAGAUCACUUAUGGUUC